rnacentral:rRNA from 1 species
GAUGAACGCUGACAGAAUGCUUAACACAUGCAAGUCCACUUGAACUUCGGUUUGGGUGGCGGACGGGUGAGUAACGCGUAAAGAACUUGCCUCACAGAUAGGGACAACAUUUGGAAACGAAUGCUAAUACCUGAUAUUAUGAUUAUAUGGCAUCGUAUAAUUAUGAAAGCUAUAUGCGCUGUGAGAGAGCUUUGCGUCCCAUUAGCUAGUUGGAGAGGUAACGGCUCACCAAGGCGAUGAUGGGUAGCCGGCCUGAGAGGGUGAUCGGCCACAAGGGGACUGAGACACGGCCCUUACUCCUACGGGAGGCAGCAGUGGGGAAUAUUGGACAAUGGACCAAGAGUCUGAUCCAGCAAUUCUGUGUGCACGAUGAAGUUUUUCGGAAUGUAAAGUGCUUUCAGUUGGGAAGAAAAAAAUGACGAUACCAACAGAAGAAGUGACGGCUAAAUACGCG